rnacentral:rRNA from 1 species
UGGGGAAUAUUGGACAAUGGGGGCAACCCUGAUCCAGCAAUGCCGCGUGUGUGAAGAAGGUCUUCGGAUUGUAAAGCACUUUCGACGGGGACGAUGAUGACGGUACCCGUAGAAGAAGCCCCGGCUAACUUCGUGCCAGCAGCCGCGGUAAUACGAAGGGGGCUAGCGUUGCUCGGAAUGACUGGGCGUAAAGGGCGUGUAGGCGGUUUACACAGUCAGAUGUGAAAUCCCCGGGCUUAACCUGGGAGCUGCAUUUGAUACGUGUAGACUAGAGUGUGAGAGAGGGUUGUGGAAUUCCCAGUGUAGAGGUGAAAUUCGUAGAUAUUGGGAAGAACACCGGUGGCGAAGGCGGCAACCUGGCUCAUGACUGACGCUGAGGCGCGAAAGCGUGGGGAGCAAACAGGUUAGAUACCCUGGUAGUCCACGCU